UUCAGGGAGUUGAAAAUAAGCAUAGAUCCGGAGAUAAAAAUAAGCAUAGAUCCGGAGAUGUCUGAAUAGGGCAACCUUUUGAACUGCUGCUUAAUCCAUGGACAUGCAAGAGACAACCUGGCGAACUGAAACAUCUUAGUAGCCAGAGGAAAAGAAAGCAAACACAAUUUUCAUAGUAACCGCGAGCAAACGGUGGGAACAACCUAAAUCGUGAAAACGGUAUUAUGGGAGAGCAAUACAAAUAUCGAGUUUCUAGGCGAAACAGCCUGAAUACUGCACUCUAAAUUGCGAAAGUUCAGUAGCCGAAAGUAUCGCUAGCUUAUGCUAUAAUCCGAAUAGCACGGAGCAUAUGAAAUCUCGUGGGAAUCACCAAUGAUGACUUUGUAUGACCAUCUAA
rnacentral:ncRNA from 1 species